rnacentral:rRNA from 1 species
UCUGGUAGUCUUUGGCUGCCCGAGUUGUAAUCUAGAGAAGUGUUACCCGUGCCGGACCGUGUGUAAGUCUCCUGGAAUGGAGCGUCAUAGAGGGUGAGAAUCCCGUCUUUGACACGGACUCCCGGGACUUUGUGGUAUGCUCUCAAAGAGUCGAGUUGUUUGGGAAUGCAGCUCAAAAUGGGUGGUAAAUUCCAUCUAAAGCUAAAUAUUGGCGAGAGACCGAUAGCGAACAAGUACCGUGAGGGAAAGAUGAAAAGAACUUUGGAAAGAGAGUUAAACAGUACGUGAAAUUGCUGAAAGGGAAACGCUUGGAGUCAGUCAUGUUGACCAGAAAUCAACCUUACUUCUGUUUGGUGUACUUUCUGGCUGACAGGCCAGCAUCAGUUUUGACCGGUGGAAAAAGUUCAAGGGAAUGUGGCAUCUCUGGAUGUGUUAUAGCCCUUGGUCGUAUACAUCGGUUGGGACUGAGGAAUUCAGCACGCCGCAAGGAGGGUCUUUGACCACAUUCGUGCUUAGGAUGCUGGCAUAAUGGCUUUAAUCGACCCGUCU